rnacentral:rRNA from 1 species
GAUGAACGCUAGCUACAGGCUUAACACAUGCAAGUCGAGGGGAAACGGCAUUGAGUGCUUGCACUCUUUGGACGUCGACCGGCGCACGGGUGAGUAACGCGUAUCCAACCUUCCCAUUACUGUGGGAUAACCUGCCGAAAGGCAGACUAAUACCGCAUAGUCUUCGAUGACGGCAUCAGAUUUGAAGUAAAGAUUUAUCGGUAAUGGAUGGGGAUGCGUCUGAUUAGCUUGUUGGCGGGGUAACGGCCCACCAAGGCAACGAUCAGUAGGGGUUCUGAGAGGAAGGUCCCCCACAUUGGAACUGAGACACGGUCCAAAUUCCUACGGGAGGCAGCAGUGAGGAAUAUUGGUCAAUGGACGGAAGUCUGAACCAGCCAAGUAGCGUGCAGGAUGACGACCCUAUGGGUUGUAAACUGCUUUUGUAUGGGGAUAAAGUUAGGGACGUGUCCCUAUUUGCAGGUACCAUACGAAUAAGGACCGGCUAAUUCCGUGCCGGCAGCCGCGGUAAUACGGAAGGUCCAGGCGUUAUCCGGAUUUAUUGGGUUUAAAGGGAGCGUAGGCUGGAGAUUAAGUGUGUUGUGAAAUGUAGACGCUCAACGUCUGAAUUGCAGCGCAUACUGGUUUCCUUGAGUACGCACAACGUUGGCGGAAUUCGUCGUGUAGCGGUGAAAUGCUUAGAUAUGACGAAGAACUCCGAUUGCGAAGGCAGCUGACGGGAGCGCAACUGACGCUUAAGCUCGAAGGUGCGGGUAUCAAACAGG